GAUGAACGCUAGCUACAGGCUUAACACAUGCAAGUCGAGGGGCAGCAUGACCUAGCAAUAGGUUGAUGGCGACCGGCGCACGGGUGAGUAACACGUAUCCAACCUGCCGAUUAUUCCGGGAUAGCCUUUCGAAAGAAAGAUUAAUACUGGAUAGCAUAACGAGAAGGCAUCUUCUUGUUAUUAAAGAAUUUCGAUAAUCGAUGGGGAUGCGUUCCAUUAGUUUGUUGGCGGGGUAACGGCCCACCAAGACAUCGAUGGAUAGGGGUUCUGAGAGGAAGGUCCCCCACAUUGGAACUGAGACACGGUCCAAACUCCUACGGGAGGCAGCAGUGAGGAAUAUUGGUCAAUGGACGAGAGUCUGAACCAGCCAAGUAGCGUGAAGGAUGACUGCCCUAUGGGUUGUAAACUUCUUUUAUAUGGGAAUAAAGUGGGCCACGUGUGGCUUUUUGUAUGUACCAUACGAAUAAGGAUCGGCUACUCCGUG
rnacentral:rRNA from 1 species